rnacentral:rRNA from 1 species
GACGAACGCUGGCGGCGUGCUUAACACAUGCAAGUCGAACGGAAAGGCCCUGCUUUUGUGGGGUGCUCGAGUGGCGAACGGGUGAGUAACACGUGAGUAACCUGCCCUUGACUUUGGGAUAACUUCAGGAAACUGGGGCUAAUACCGGAUAGGAGCUCCUGCUGCAUGGUGGGGGUUGGAAAGUUUCGGCGGUUGGGGAUGGACUCGCGGCUUAUCAGUUUGUUGGUGGGGUAGUGGCUUACCAAGGCUUUGACGGGUAGCCGGCCUGAGAGGGUGACCGGCCACAUUGGGACUGAGAUACGGCCCAGACUCCUACGGGAGGCAGCAGUGGGGAAUAUUGCACAAUGGGCGGAAGCCUGAUGCAGCAACGCCGCGUGCGGGAUGACGGCCUUCGGGUUGUAAACCGCUUUCGCCUGUGACGAAGCGUGAGUGACAGUAAUGGGUAAAGAAGCACCGGCUAACUACGUG